rnacentral:rRNA from 1 species
CCCUUAGAUGUUCUGGGCUGCACGCGCGCUACACUGAAGGAAGCAGCGUGUUAGAGCACCUGGCCCGCGAGGGCUGGGUAAUCCGGUGAAUGUCCUUCGUGAUUGGGAUAGGGACUUGUAAUUAUUUCCCUUGAACGAGGAAUUCCUAGUAAGCGUGAGUCAUCAGCUCGCGUUGAUUACGUCCCUGCCCUUUGUACACACCGCCCGUCGCUCCUACCGAUUGAACGUGCUGGUGAAGCGUUAGGACUGGCGCCACGUGUCGGGUCUCCCUUCAACGGGGCGCCGGGAAUUUCGUUGAACCCUCCCGUUUAGAGGAAGGAGAAGUCGUAACA